UACGGGGGGGGGCAAGCGUUGUUCGGAAUUACUGGGCGUAAAGGGCGCGUAGGUGGCCAACUAAGUCAGACGUGAAAUCCCUCGGCUUAACCGGGGAACUGCGUCUGAUACUGGAUGGCUUGAGUUUGGGAGAGGGACGCGGAAUUCCGAGUGUAGAGGUGAAAUUCGUAGAUAUCCGGAGGAACACCGGUGGCGAAGGCGGCUUCCUGGACCGACACUGACGCUGAGGCGCGAAAGCUAGGGGGAGCAAACGGG
rnacentral:rRNA from 1 species